GAUGAACGCUGGCGGCGUGCCUAAUACAUGCAAGUCGAGCGAACAGACGAGGAGCUUGCGCCUCGGACGUUAGCGGCGGAGGGGUGAGUAACACGUGGAUAACCUACCUAUAAGACUGGGAUAACCUCGGGAAACCGGAGCUAAUACCGUAGAAUAUAUUGAACCGCAUGGGGCAAUAGUAAGAGACGGUGGUGGGGUCAGUAAUAGAUGGAUCCGCGCGGCAUGAGCUAGUUGGUCAGCUAACGGCUUACUAAGGCAACGAUGCGUAGACGAGCUCAGAGACUGAUCGCCGACCUUGGAACUGAGCCACCGUCAAGACUCCUACGGUACGCAGCAGUCGCCAAUCUUACGCAAUGGGCGAAAGCCUGACGCAGUAACGCCGAGCCAGUUACGACGGUCCUCCGAUCGUAAAACUCUCUUUCUAGGGAAGAACCACUGUCUCCGUAACCAUGCCCGUCUUGACGGUAACUAAUCAGAAAGCCCCGGCUAACUACGUG
rnacentral:rRNA from 1 species